CAUAUUCUCCUCAUUCUCUGUAUUGAAGUGGAAAGGAGCUUACUAGUGCAGUUCAAGAAGAAUGAGGGGGUCCACCCAGAUGAUUAUCAUAACAUGCUGACACCCUAAACAGUUCCUCUUUAAAAUUGAAUUUCUAAUAUCAUCACUUUGGAGAUUAUAAUAUUGAGACAUGAAUCCCUUGGAAAAUGAUUCAGGAGCUGUGCAUGCUGUGAUAAAGGCACCUGCCAAAGACACGGAGGGGACAUAAAUCUGCCACCAAGUGUGCAGAAUCCCUAAUCGUGCCACCCCUCCAACAGCGUGGGGUCAUUAGAAACCUGCCAACUGCAUCGCUGUGGGCAGCUCAUUCAUUAUAAACAAGGACAAGAUAUUUUCCAUGUUGCAUCAGCCGUCAUGUCAAAUUCCGGCACCAGAAAGGUAGGGUUGAUACAGCCCUUGCCUUCAGAAAGCUGCCAGUCCAUGCUCACAAUACCGCGAUGUUAGUCCAGCACAGAGCUAAGGCAAGGGGGCAAGCUAAGGGCUAAUGGGAUAGGAGUGCGGCUUCUAUCGGUGCUGAUGGGGGGGAUGGGGGAAGGCUUCAUAUUAGUCAACAUGGCAGUCACAGUCCUUGCCCUGCUGUUCUCUCUUGAGAAGUCACCUUUGUACCACUCAGCUGCUACUGUGAACACCAGGGACUUCAUGCCUGAGCGAGCUUCCUGGCCGAGGGAGCCAGUUGUGCUGGAGAGCUAAUAUCCCUGGAAGCCUUCAGCCAAUGAUAGAUGGCAAGUGGGGACUUGAACGGAAACCCGGAGUCUGUGGAGCCCACAAUCCUGACCACCAGGCCUUUUCUGCUCUUGCUUGGGUCCUACCAAGAAACUCUCCAAGGCACACUAUGGCGUCCUGCCUCCUCACCUUCCCCUGUGCUGUUACCCACACCAGGAUAGCAAGAUUCUCUCAUCUUUAAACCCACCAAAUGUUUCUAUCAAGCACCAUGCAAAUGUCAACACCUCCUUGAUAUUGGUUGUUGUUGAUGGUUUUGUUUUCUUGCUUGGAUCUCUCGAUAUCUUUAUUCUGGAAAUGCAGAAAUUGCCCAGA